GGCCUCGCCCGCCAACAAAUAAUAACACAUAAACAUAUCACAACACAUAAGCUAAACACAUACGAACUGAUCCUGUCCUAAGGCCUCGCCUGUCCUGGGCCUCGCCCCUGCCCUGCUACUGAUGAGUCAUGGAACCCCGUCCAUGCUCCUACUGAUUGUGAGAUACGGGCCCAGCCCACACUCACUCUUUUCCUAACUCGGGCCUCGCCCCUGAUCUGCUGCUAAUGAGAUGUGUAACACCAUCCACACUCUGCUAUUGGUGAGUUACGGGACCUCGCCCACACUCACCUCCCUACCAGGCACAUACAAAUAUCACACAGACACCAAGUAUUAACUAUCACAUAAACCAUUCCUUGGGUACCCGCCCGCUACCACUGGACCUCGUCCUGAAUAUCAUAAUAGCAUAUUGUGCUUAGGGCUAACCUUCGGGUCUUCUACUCAUAACUACAUGAGCCGGCAUUGUGGCCUUAGACCCAUUCACACAAAGGGAAACUCACCUGCACUGGCUGAGCUGGCUGAUGAUCCCACUAGCUGCUGCCCGACAAGUCUCUGAACUCCUGCUCCACUCGCUCCCCGAGCUACCAAUAUCAAUGCAACACUGAGUCUAACUGACCCCUGAAAGACAACCAAGUCAACUCUAGUCAAAGUCAAAGUCCUGGUCAAAGUCAACCUUCCAGGUCAACCUUACUCGCCGAGUCACCCUACUGACUCGCCGAGUUCAUAUGUUCAGAGUCCUUCCAUUCGCGACUCGACUCGCCGAGUCUACCGAUUUCUGAGUCCUGACCUGUCCAACUCACCGAGUCUCCACUCGACUCACUGAUUCGAGUCUCAAAUCGAAGGGUUGGGGUUUCGUAACCUGACUCGCCGAGUCCAAGAACAGACUCGCCGAGUCCAAGACAACCUUCAACAGACUCGCCGAGUUGUUCAUCCAACUCGUCGAGUUCCUGCCCAACUUCAUCCGACUCGACUAGUUGUUCAUCCCACUCGUCGAGUUCCUUCAAAUCUUCAUGCUACUCGCCGAGUCCACUCAAAGGACUCGCUGAGCCCAUUCUGAUCUUCAUACAUGCAGAGGAGUUUUGAGUCAUGCAUGGACUCCAAACAAUAGAUCUACCUUCCCCAAGCCUAUUACUCACGUAAAGUUGCAAACUUUACGUGUAGAGAAGGAGAUCUAGGCAAAACACACAAUAAACUAGGGUUUUAGGCAAAGAGGCUUCAUAAUCAACUCAAGGGCAGAUACUUUAUGCUUCUCAAGACCAUAAUAUGCUUAGAUCCGAAGUAGCAACUUCAUAUCUGGCUUCUAACUCAAAUGGAUACCAUCAUGGCUAAAAAGCCCCAAAACUCACACAUAGAUCUAGGUGCAAAAGAGUCCAAGAACUAGUUUAUUACCUCCAAAUGCUCAGAAAUAUCUUCCCAAUCCCAGAUCUAUAGCCCCUUCUUGCACCUCCAAGAUCCUUCUUCCUUCUCCAAGCUUUAAUGCACUCUUCAAGGCAACAAAUGGCUCAAUCAAUGAAUAUGGCAGCUAGGUUUUGGUGUCCUGGAUUAGAGAGGCAGUAAAGGAACCCUAGGGAAGAGAAUGAGGUGCUUAAAUAGGCUCCAAGUUCUGCAUUUAGGGUUUUCCUCGCAUAGACUAGACUCGCCGAGUCGGUCACUUACUCCUCGACCCGAAUCCCGCUCGGAAUCGCCGAGUCGUCCCUUAAAAUUAGGGUUUUCUUUCCUUUCUUGGUCUUCCUGACUUUGGGUGUUACAACUCUCCCCCACUUAAACUAAACUUCAUCCUCGAAGCUUGCUAUGGCCCACCGCCUGAGAUCUGCGCCCAAUACCCCACCAAUUAUUCCAACACCAGCUGCCUACCUUCGCUGGUCUUCCGCCCGGUCAUUCCGACUAACAUUAAUCCUUGCUGAUAAUCAUCUCGGGUCAACCCUGACCCUGAACAUUCUGGAAAAUGGAACUUACUCAACUGACAAUCCUUCUGGUACUCAUCGAGUACUGCACUAAACCCAUAGGGGUUUACUCCUUCUUUCCUUGCGCGAUUCCCUUGCCUCCCUAAGGCAAUGCUCCAUAACCAACUAUUUCCUUUGUCACUGUGAAGAUCCUAUCUUCACCAAUCCAUUACUCCCGCUACUCCCAGUACGGGUCAUUAUCGUCAGUAUCCACUGGGCAUUUCUUUCUACUAUAAUUUGGUGUCGAGCACCCCACGAUCAACUAACUGAAUUCCACCACACGCUGCAUACCCGCACUACUACUGACUGGAAAUUUUGCUAUUCCUCAUCUUACUUCCGGAUGAACUGAGACCACCCUGGUCCCUACCAACCUAUCAAUAUCUGGAUUACCGGCUCCCAUUGAUCGCUGUCCCAACACAACUACUAGUCGCUACCAGCGACUUUUGAAGAAACUUCAACCACCUAUAACUGCUCAAUCUAUUCUGCCAUACAAGCACUACAAUUUCUGGGUCCCCGAUCCCAUAUCUUGACACUAAGGUCCCUACCAGGUCCCACCUAUGCUGCUAAAACUCACGUGCCUCACCCCACAGGUCUCACCCGUCUCUAUCCCUCUAGUCCUACUUAUCUAGCCAUUCUCGCUCGGGCCUCGCCCACGGGUCUCACCCAACCAUACUACUGAGCAACCCUGCUCUCAGGUCUCACCUAUACUGCUAUUCUCAUACGGGCCUCGCCCAGGGGUCUCACCCAACUAUAUCCUAAAGCGGCCUCUCCCAAGGUCUCACCUCUCUAGGGCUAUACAGGCAAACUCCCUAUCAUUCUCACCCACUACCCAUUCCUGAUCCCUAUCUGAUCACUAGGAGAUAAGGGCCUCGCCCCAACUCCGCCAACGAAGCUACUAUGGAAUGCUACGGCUUGCCUGCAGUCUUACAUCACCUUUUAUCACCGUCUGCUAGUGAAUGCUAUGGCUGCCUCGUAGUCUGACAACACUUCCCACCACUGACUGCUGGUGAAUGUUAUGGAUGCCCCGUAUUCUUACAACACUCUCCACCACUGACUGCUGGUGAAUGCUACGGCUGCCCCGUAGUCUUACAACACUUUUUACCACUGACUACUGGUGAAUGCUACAGCUACCCCGUAGUCUUACAACACUUUCCACCACUGACUGCUGGUGAAUGCUACGACUGCCCCGUAGUCUUACAACACUUUCCACCACUGACUGCUAAAGCGAAAGCACUCCAUGCUAUCAGUUCUCAAGAUCUUUCUUCUGACUCACUCGAGCCCUACAGGCGAUCCCCCAUCCUGAAUUUCCAACCAUAUACUAACCAUCACUAAUACACGCACCGACUGAGGGGGAGUUUCUCAAGCUCCCAACCCUGGACUUCUCAAUCCAUCAAUACUGUACCACUUCUUUUUCCUUCUCGGAGGUCGCACACUUAUUCUGGAUAUGCGUGCUCUUACCUUUGCCCGCUCGGAGGAUUCUCCCCCACUUCGAUCCUGCUUAACCCUUGCUGCUCAAUGCUCGAAAAGAAAUCCCCAUCCUCGCUACCAUUCCAUAAACAACCUGCUGAGGGAUCCCCAAGCUUACCAUAGGUAGGGAUCUAACCAAUCCAUUUCUAAAAUCAUACGGCUCCGUGAUAUGUUCAUAUUUAGUGUGUAUUUAGUAUAGUUUUUUAUUCAUAUAUUAGCUAAAUUAUCGCAUAUUAUGGACAAAAGGUACUUAAAAGUGUUAAAUUAUGUUUUUCAGUCCAAAUAUGAAGCUCAAAAGCAAAAGGAAGUAAGAGAAGCAGUUAGGAGCUCGAGAGUGGAAUGAAGAAGGAAAAACACUAAAAAAAGCUUUUACUCGUCGAGUCAGAUAGCUACUCGACGAGUCCGGUCGAGGAAUCAGAAGGAUAAUGACUCGGGAUCCCAGAUAGUUAUCGCAAUACGGGGAAUGUGAGAGGGACUCGACGAGUCACCACUUGACUCGACGAGUCGGAUCGCUUAUUUAUAGAUAAUUCCACAGAUCGAUGAUAAGGAGUUCUGGGACGAUUCAGAAGUAUCUUGCUACGAUUGAGAAGCCUGAAAACCCCUAGAAGACGAAGAAGGAAGCUAGAAUUCAAUUCCGGAGAGUAAUUAAGGCAAAAUUUCAUCAUUCCAUUUAUUCUUUUGUUUAUUCAUCAUGACUAAGCAAUUUGACUUUGAUUGUUUGCUGUUAUUUACUUUAAUUAUGAGCUAAAACCUUUAGACUUCUGUUUGGGGAUACAAAGUUGACAAUAUGGUUUGAUUGAUUGGUAGGAUUAAUUCUAAGUUGGUGAAUUUUUGUUAUUUUAGCUUGCUAAAGAACCUUGUGUGUGAAUAAUAAUUAAUUUUCUGUUAAUAGGAAGAUAAUUGAUUAGCAUGAACAUCUAUUGAUUAUUGUCCUCAUAUGAUAUAUUGUGACCACAUAGUUAUAUNAAGUUGGUGAAUUUUUGUUAUUUUAGCUUGCUAAAGAACCUUGUGUGUGAAUAAUAAUUAAUUUUCUGUUAAUAGGAAGAUAAUUGAUUAGCAUGAACAUAUAUUGAUUAUUGUCCUCAUAUGAUAUAUUGUGACCACAUAGUUAUAUGUCUAGGAUUAAUGAAUAUGAAACUAGAAUUAAUAAGAAAAUUGAGUAAAUUCAUGUGCAAGCUUGUAAGAUGACUAUCAAACAAGAGGUUAAUUAAAAAAGACUAAAUUAGUUAACUAUUGCAAGUCUAACUUAACCCGAAUAAUUAAUCUAGUAAAUAUAAUUAAAUUAAGCAAUUGGCCACUGUUUGAGUUAGUUUAUUUGCUAAGGAUUAGGGUAGUGAAUAUGAACCUAAUCACUUGAAUCGGUAACCAACGAAAGAAUUAAUCCAUUGCACUAUUACCUUGAAAAUCAACCAUAGAGUUAACCAAGUUGAACUAAACAGAAGUUCCUUUCCAAUUAUUGAAUCUAGUUAAAUCGUUAUUUUCUAGCUUUAAAUUAGUAAUAAUUAGUAAGUUUCUAGUCUUGUAAAACUAGAGAACAACCCCUGCUUUUUAAUUAACUUAGAUUAAAUUAGUUUUUAGUUUAAUUUGCCGUUCCCUGUGUUCGAUACCCUGCUUAUUUAGCCAUACCACAAUUGAUAGGUUCACUGCCUUUUGUGUGUUAUUCGAUAAUUAAAAGUAAGUUUAAAACUAGUUGGUUUUACACACAUCACUCCGAAUUAGCGAGACAUACCAAGUCCCUCCCAGGCAUGCUACAGUUACUGCAUCCUAAUCAAUCUUCCCCAAUAGAGCACAUCCCUCAACUACCAUUCAAAUAUCCAAGGUAUGCAGAUGGCAUAUAACUCGAUCACAAGCAAGCCGCACAAAAAUAAAAUACUCUUACCGAUAAUGAUGCAGAACCAUAACAAUAUAAUCAUGCACAAAUAAAAGAACUGAAAACGGAAAUCGCAUACCUGCAACGUCCAAUGCUGCUCGCGCCUCCAAGGUAGUCAUCUGAAAAGCCUUGCCUCCUACCGCAGGCGCCUCUGCACGGCCCUGACGGCCGUCUGUGAUCCUCAAAGUUGCAGAGGCAGGUGCCAUCACCCGUCCUGCNNNNNNNNNNNNNNNNNNNNNNNNNNNNNNNNNNNNNNNNNNNNNNNNNNNNNNNNNNNNNNNNNNNNNNNNNNNNNNNNNNNNNNNNNNNNNNNNNNNNNNNNNNNNNNNNNNNNNNNNNNNNNNNNNNNNNNNNNNNNNNNNNNNNNNNNNNNNNNNNNNNNNNNNNNNNCUUCCCGCAUCGACUGCGGUCCUGAUAAUCCCUUGAUCUCGAAUCCGAUCCCUUGGUCCUUUUGCCCGAACUCGCGGCAACCUAAACCUCAUCCGGCUUCAUCUUCCGGAUUUGCUCCAAAUCAAUUUCCCUCUCCCUGGCCCGAGAAAUCAUAUCUUCCAGCGUCUUACAGCCGGACCUGCUCACGAACUCCCUGAUGUCAGCCCUCAACAUCUUGUGAUAUCGGGCCUUCUUCAUCUCCCCAUCGCGACAUACUGCGGUACAUGAAGAUCCCUCUCCCUGAACUUGGCGGUGAUCUCCACCACAGUCUCAGUGGUCUGCGUCAAAUCCUGAAACUCCCGUGCCAACUGUUGCACCACAAUAAUUGGCGAAAACUCCGCCCUGAACCUGGCCAAGAAAUCGCUCCAAGUCAUCGCGUCCAACGCGGCAUCAUCCCCCAAAGCAUGACCAAUCUCCUACCACCAAUCCCUCGCUCUGUCCUUCAGAAGACAGGAAGCGAGUCUGACCUUGUCCUCCUCAGGACACCGGCUUAUACGGAACGUGUUGGCAACAUCAGCCAACCAUCUGUUGCUAGCGAUGGGGUCCCUAGCCCCAUGAUAAUCUGGUGCCCCGCAAGUCCUAAACUCUCGAAAUGUCAAGGUACGCGCUCCCAUCAAAGCCAUCAUCUCCGUACGGAAAGCUCCCAGCCUCUCAUCCAAAAUCUCCAAUAUACCCUCCUUGACCGUGCCAUAGAUCACAGAAGUCUGAUCUAGAAUACUACGCGUAACCUCGGUGGAUAUCAACUCCCUCAUUCGCUCCUCGAGCUGCUCGGCCCCUGAACCCGAGCCUGAUCCCUCUCCGGCGCCUGAUCCGCCCGCUGGUCUCUCUCGCAACGUUACCAUGCUGAAAAUAUAAUACAUCCUCAAUCAAAAUACUGAUCACUGCUGCGAGACCCAAACACACACCCUACCAGGUCCCCGGUCUUGUCUCGACCUUUCCCGAAUCGAGUACGGAUCCUCUGCUUUCAGUAGUACGGGCCCAUACUACCUUCCACAUCUAUCCGUACUUUCCUCAAGAAUUGCUUCGACUCCACCAGGUCCCUUAUCCACUACUACUGCUCCCAGCACUUUCUCAUCCUAGGCUUACCCUAGGGAAACCUCUGACUCAAACCAAACCAGUCCUCAGCCGCUGAAGGCCUCCUUGUGAUGCCAAUUAGCCAUCACCUGGAUACCACCACAUGUGACGAGGCUCAGAUAAUCCUUCAAGUAAAAGACUCGUCCCUACAACAGUUGGAUUCAGACAAGAGCUGUGCAAUAGGACUAAAUCCAACACUCUGAGAUUAUUACAUGUGACGUGUCAUAUCCACCUAAUGGCUAACUCCCAUCACUCAGAAUCCCACAAUGCACAAAGCAAGCAGCAUUCAGACAAGGGAAAAUCUAACCAUAACAUACUCAAGCAAUCAUAUCCACAUAGUAAGAAUCUGAACUAGCAUGCAACACAAACUCAUAGACUCACACGAACUCAUAAACUCAGGCAUAACCUAAACAGGCUAUCCUACUACUGUCUAAUAAGCACUAUCAUGCAACUCAAAAGCACAUAUAACAGGCACAUAAGGCAUCAUCCCUAGAUCCUUAGUCCUAAUCUAGCAUGUUGCUCUAUUAUCUGAUAAUCAUAACAUAAACUUGUAUGGGUAUUUUGGGGUACUUACUUGAGCUCGGUUAAUUGCAUGCACCAUACCCCUUUUCUCUUUUCAAAGUUCGUUUCUUUCCGAAUUCUUUUUGCUUUUCUAAAACUCUUUUUCGUUCUUAAAAUUCUUUCACAAAACUGUCCUUUCAUUUUUGAAAACUUUUUAUCCGACCCCUUAGUUUGAGUUCAGGCACACCCGAGAGUAUGCCCGAAUCCCUCAAACCAAGGCUCUGAUACCAACUUGUAACAUCCCAAAAUUCAAGACUAAAAAUUGCUUUUCCUAACUCGGGCCUCGCCGCUGAUCUGCUGCUAAUGAGAUGUGGAACACCAUCCACACUCUGCUAUUGGUGAAUUACGGGACCUUGCCCACACUCACCUCCCUACCAGGCACAUACAAGCAUCACACAGACAACAAGUAUUAACUAUCACAUAAACCAUUCCUUGGGCACCCGCCCGCUACCACUGGACCUCGUCCUGAAUAUCAUACUAGCAUACUGUGCCUAGGGCUAACCCCCGGGUCUUCUACUCAUAACUACAUGGGCCGGCAUUGUGGCCUUAGACCCAUUCACACGAAGGGAAACUCACCUGCACUGGCUGAACUUGUUGAUGAUCCCACUAACCGCUGUCCGACAACUCUCUGAACUCCUGCUCCACUCGCUCCCCGAGCUACCAAUAUCAAUGCAACACUGAGUCUAACUGACCCCUGAAAGACAACCAAGUCAAAUCUAGUCAAAGUCAAAGUCAACCUUCCAGGUCAACCCUACUCGCAGAGUCACCCUACUGACUCGCCGAGUUCAUAUGUUCAGAGUCCUUCCAUUUGUGACUCGACUCGCCGAGUCAGUCUAUGACUCGCCGAGUCUACUGAUUUUAGAGUCCUGACCUGUCCAACUCACCGAGUCUCCACUUGACUCACUGAUUCGAGUUUCAACUCGAAGGGUUGGGGUUUCGCAACAUGACUCGUCGAGUCCAAGAACAGACUCGCCGAGUCCAAGAAAACCUUCAACAGACUGGCCGAGUUGUUCAUCCAACUCGCCGAGUUCCUGCCCAACUUCAUCCGACUCGACGAGCUGUUCAUCCCACUCAUCGAGUUCCUUCAAAUCUUCAUGCUACUCGCCGAGUCCACUCAAAGGACUCGCCGAGCCCAUUCAGAUCUUCAAACAUGCAGAGGACUUUUGAGUCAUGCAUGGACUCCAAACUGUAGAUCUACCCUUCCCAAGCCUAUUCCUCACGUAAAGUUGCAAACUUUACAUGUAGAGAAGGAGAUCUAGGCAAAAC
rnacentral:lncRNA from 1 species